rnacentral:misc_RNA from 1 species
UGACCACUCAAGCCUAGCUUGGUAUUGGGGUUCGCGGCUCCGCGGCCCCUAAAAUCAGUGGCGGUGCCGCCUGGCUCUAAGCGCAGUAAUUCUCUCGCUACAGUGUCCGGGUGGUUGCUUGCCAGAAUCUCCCAACUCUCAC